GUCCACGCCCUAAACGGUGGGUACUAGGUGUAGGGCUCGUAAGGGUUCUGUGCCGAAGGGAAACCAUUAAGUACCCCGCCUGGGGAGUACGGCCGCAAGGUUGAAACUCAAAGGAAUUGACGGGGGCCCGCACAAGCGGUGGAGCAUGUGGUUUAAUUCGACGCAACGCGAAGAACCUUACCUGGGCUUGACAUGUUAGUGGUAGGAAACUGAAAAGGGACCGAUUCGUAGUAAUACGAAAGCUAACACAGGUGCUGCAUGGCUGUCGU
rnacentral:rRNA from 1 species